rnacentral:rRNA from 1 species
CGUUGGUGAACCAGCGGAGGGAUCAUUACUGAGUUACCGCUCAUCAACCCUUUGUGAACAUACCUUAACUGUUGCUUCGGCGGGUAGGCGUCCCCUAAAAAGGACGUCUCCCGGCCCUCUCCCGUCCGCGGGUGGGGCGCCCGCCGGAGGAUAACCAAACUCUGAUUUAACGACGUUUCUUCUGAGUGACACAAGCAAAUAAUCAAAACUUUUAACAACGGAUCUCUUGGUUCUGGCAUCGAUGAAGAACGCAGCGAAAUGCGAUAAGUAAUGUGAAUUGCAGAAUUCAGUGAAUCAUCGAAUCUUUGAACGCACAUUGCGCCCGCCAGCAUUCUGGCGGGCAUGCCUGUUCGAGCGUCAUUUCAACCCUCAAGCUCUGCUUGGUGUUGGGGCUCUACGGUUGACGUAGGCCCUUAAAGGUAGUGGCGGACCCUCUCGGAGCCUCCUUUGCGUAGUAACAUUUCGUCUCGCAUUGGGAUUCGGAGGGACUCUAGCCGUAAAACCCCCAAUUUUACUAAGGUUGACCUCGGAUCAGGUAGGAAUACCCGCUGAACUUAAGCAUAUCAAUA